GACAGAGGGUGCAAACGUUGUUCGGAAUUACUGGGCGUAAAGCGUGUGUAGGCGGUCUCGUAAGUCAGGUGUGAAAGCCCCGGGCUCAACCCGGGAAGUGCACUUGAUACUGUGAGACUUGAGUACUGGAGAGGUUGGUGGAAUUCUCGGUGUAGAGGUGAAAUUCGUAGAUAUCGAGAGGAACACCGGUGGCGAAGGCGGCCAACUGGACAGAUACUGACGCUGAGACACGAAAGCGUGGGGAGCAAACAGG
rnacentral:rRNA from 1 species